rnacentral:misc_RNA from 1 species
GAAGAGACUAAAUUACCCUUAUUAAAAAAUGGUUGAGAAAGAGAGAGAAAUAAAUAGUGAGAGAGAGGCAAAACAUAAAUGUGAGAAAGACAAGGGAGAGAUGAGGAGAGGAAGAGAGUAUGAAUUAUACUAUAAGAAUAAAAAAAAAUUCUUGCAUUUAACUAACUUGAUUGGUUAAUAUGCUGAGAAAAAUUGACAGAGUGGCUAUUUAGUUUAAUGAAAUCAAAUUUUAGAGAUUAAUUAACAUAAUUAUCAAAAUUCAUAAUGAUAAAACUUAAGGACUCUUAAGUAAUUCAACGUAAAUAUUUUUUGGUACAAU